AGGUCCGUAGCUCUAACGGCAGAGCACUGGACUCCAAAUCCAGGUGUUGCAGGUUCAAAUCCUGCCGGGCCUGCCA
rnacentral:tRNA from 6 species